GGCAGUGGGAGGGAAGGGGAGGAAUGGUUGUCUUUGUGCCCGUAAACAAUGGCCCAUGAGGACGCGUAAUGCUGCCCCUAACGACCCUCGCGAUGGGCUGUGAGGGGGGAAAGAGGAAACCUUAAUGAUUGUUUAAAAAGAGGCACAACCAUCCACUGCUGUGAAGGCAGAAGGUACUGCAGAGACUCAGAGCCUGAUGAGGAUCAAGGAAUGGAGGUAGUUUGUGGAGUCAGAGCCCUUCAGUGUGGGAAUAGAGGAGGUUUUUGACAUCCUGCCACUGUACAGUGUGCUGCAGCCGAGUGAGAGCCAGCGGGUCACGUUCCCCCUCUUUGGCCGUGCAGACAUUGUCGCCCACGUCAUGGCACUGUGCAGGGUGGAGGGAGGCCCAACCUACGAGAUUGCGCUGAGCGGGGAUGCUUUGCUUAUCAACUGCCUCUUGGACAUCACAGAGAUUGAC